rnacentral:tRNA from 1 species
ACCUCCUGAGUAUACCUGUACACUUGCCUUCCAAGCAAGAAGUUUAGAUCAUCUAAAGAAGGUA